CGGAAGGUCCGGGCGUUAUCCGGAUUUAUUGGGUUUAAAGGGAGCGCAGGCCGUCCUUUAAGCGUGCUGUGAAAUGCCGCGGCUCAACCGUGGCACUGCAGCGCGAACUGGAGGACUUGAGUACGCACGAGGUAGGCGGAAUUCGUGGUGUAGCGGUGAAAUGCUUAGAUAUCACGAAGAACUCCGAUUGCGAAGGCAGCUUACCGGAGCGCAACUGACGCUGAGGCUCGAAAGCGCGGGGUAUCGAACAGGAUU
rnacentral:rRNA from 1 species